CUAAAGCAGGCUCCACAUAGAGUGUGGAGCCCUACACAGGACUCAAUCUCACAACCGGGGCAUCAUGACCUGAGCUAAAAUAAAGUUGGGUAUUCAACCAACUGAGCCACCCAGGUGCCCCUGUAACUUUUCUUUCUAAACCAUGAGAAGAUUUAUGUGAUGUUUCAAGGCCUGAGGAAAAGUGACCAUUUGGCAGGUUUGGGUCAAUAGUCUGGCCUAAAGAUGUUGGAAUAGGCUUUUUAGAUUGAGGUUUGUGUUCAUGCAUCUUAUUUUCAGAUUAACAGUAUUCUGAAAAUACCCAGCCUUGUGUUCUCUUGUAAGGCUAGAGAUGAGAGGAUAUAAGGACCCCAGCACAUACUCAGUAAGAUUACCCUUUUGUCCUUCAAGAUUCUGCAUGGAAUGUAUUAGAUUUAAGUAGUGGUCCUCAACCUGAGGAGUUAAAAAGACAUGUACAGGCAAUAUCACAGGCCAAUUAAGUCAGAUUACGGAGGUAGGACCCAGACCUCAGUACCUUUUAAAGAUUCCCCAGGAGAUUCCGAGGUGCAGCAGCCAAGAUUGAGAUUUGAGAUCUGGUGCUGUCUAGACUGAGCCUAUCUUUUAGAAAUACAUUCAGAAGUCUAAAACAGACCUGUCUUCCUCCUGCCCCCUAUCCUCCAGCCUGGUGAGAUUGAAGUCUUUAAUGUGACAUGAGAUGUAAAAUUAGUCCUUUUUAUCCUGUUGUGUGAACUCUACAUGUGAAAUUUCUCACCUUCAAAUAGGAGUGAGGGCUGGGUCUCUUCCCUUCCUUGUCUUAAUGUCUUACAUGUUCUGCCUGGGUCCAUUUCAAGUUGUAACAGAGUAGACUCAAACUAUAGACAUUAACCUAUAAUUUCAGGUUUCUAGGAAUUUGCCUUUCAUGGUAUAGAAACCUUAGAUAUGCUGAGUAUUGCCAGAAUUAGUGGUUUUCUGCGUAUAUAAAGCAACCUUUUCUAAUGCACGUGCCUUCAUAUAGUGAAUAUAAAAGACUUCUGAUCCUGUUGUCUCGUGUAGGAUAAUCGCAUCUCAGAGUUGGGUGUGAGGAGUAGUUUGAUGGUUAAACCAUCUGUGUAAGGGCUUCUUCAAGAGGAAAAGUUGAAGGAGGAAAUAAAAAUCACCUGUAGUCACAACAACUAGAGAAAAUCUUUGUUCAUGGUUUGCUAUAUCCUGUCACAUAUACAAAAAAAAAUUAGCCAGGGGAUAAUGUGUCAACCUACUGGUUUCUUGUGUGUUUUUUGUUUUUGUUGUUGUUUUUAAGCUGGAGGAGGAAUACUAGCUGAUAGAAAUAAUUGGAUUGGGUGGGGAGAAGUGCUUUAAGAGGACUUCCUGGGAGUCAGGAGACCUGAAUUCUGGCUCUGGAUCCACCACUAAGUGGGUUUAGGGAAUAUCCCAAUGUUUCUUGAGCUUCAAUUCCCACUUGUGUAAAAUGAGUCGGAAGUAGGUGCUAUCUGAACUUUCUGAUCGUUCUGGGUACAAACAAGCUUCCCAAGGAGACGGAGUUUGGGAAAUGUAUAUAGUAGGGCGGGGGGCGGGGCCCAGUUGCGUUCACACUGCCCACGUUCUGUAAUCCCCCUCUUCAAUCUCCAAUUCCUCUUGCGUGGUCUCCUCUUGGUCAUCCUUCAUCUCACGGCCACGCAAGCAACUUCCCUCACAGCCCUAGGAGCCUACCCUAUUAGAUGGGGCCAUAGGGUUUGUGUCGCAGGAGUCUCUGACACGUCACAAUGCGCAGGGGAGCCCCUACCUAGGGCCCUCAAUUCCCACCAGAAAGGCCCUCGGAGGCUGUAGUGGUUGGGAUGUCGCGCGUGUGCGAGUGUCCUCUGCGGCUGGAAAAGGGCUUCAUCUUGGAUGGUGUGGCCGUGAGCACCAUGGCCCACACCUAUGAGCGCCUGAGGCCCAAGGUCUGGUCGGCGAUUCCGCCCUACAACGCCCAGCAGGACUACCACGCCCGCCGAUACUUCCGGAGCCGCGUGGUUCCGCCAGUGCUGCGCCGGACUGAACAGGAUCUCGGGGGCACAGGCAGGGAUGGCUGGAUAGUGGAUUAUUUCCACAUCUUCGGGCAAGGACAGAGAUACCUGAACCGGAGAAACUGGGCAGGGGCAGGCAAGUGCCACCUGGCUUUCCAGCCUCACCAUGGACCCACUUGGAAGAGCGAUGUGCAUUCCCCCAGUUCAGAGAGAGAAACCGGGCCACAGAGAGCCCUGUUUUCAGGGGAAGAGGCCCAAGGACUGCAUCCUCCAGCUUUUCUUCUCACGCAUGAGCAGAUGGUGUCACUGUGCUCCUUAUAUUUAGUGAUUGAGUGCCUACUGUAUGUCAGAUGCUUUCUGCCCUCACACUAUCCCUGUGCUACAGCCGGGGAAACGGAAGUUUAGGGUGGUAAAGUGAUUGGCCAAGAAGGGCUUAGCUGGGAUCAGAGUUCCGCUCUUUCCAACUCUAAAACCCAUGUUCCCCUCACUGCUCCCGGCCUGAGCUGGCUGUGUCCUGCUCCUUUUCCGAGCCCAACUUAGCAACAAGAAAGGAAGGGUUGAGAGCUGUUUUUCUGACAGUGUGAACCCUCCUCCCACCCAACCCCAUCGCCCUUUCACCACACUCUAGUCACAUGAUCCUAUGCACCAUUUGGCCAAAGUGAGCUCAUCCAUUUUCUCCAGAUGGGUCAGAAGCAAGGGUGAAAUGUUUUCAGUCUUCCUGGGAGCAAGGCAAGUUCGGCCAAGCCCAGAAUCUUCUGGCCCCUCCUGUGCUAGCACAUACCAUUCACGCUCCUCCUGUAUACUACUCGUGGUAUGUGGUUUGGUUUCUAGAAAGCUGUCUCCGUGACUUCAUCAACCCUUGGCUUUUAAUCAAGACCCUUGAGACACUCCAGGAUUGAGGGCAUUCCCUCCAGCAGGUGACAGGGCAUGAUAACUACAAUGCUGAUCUGAAAAUGAUCAACGGGUUCAAUGGUCGGUUUGGCUAUCGCAGGAACACCCCAGACCUCCGCCAGCGCCCAUCGGUCUUUGGAGAGGUCACCCG